GCAAAUAGAUUAAUAAAAUAAAAAUGUUAAAAAAAAAAAAAACUCACAGUGCCCCAUGCCAGAGCAAACUGUGGCCCCGAAUCAUUGCCUGGCCUCUGUGUCCAUAGGCUGCUGGCACUGAAGUGGGUUGCACAGAG